GACGAACGCUGGCGGCGUGCCUAAUACAUGCAAGUCGAACGCAGUUGCGCACGGGUGAGUAACGCGUAGGUAACCUUCCUCAUAGCGGGGGGUAACUAAUGGAAACGAUAGGUUAUACCCCCUACUGUGAGAUGGACCUGCGUUGCAUUAGCUAGUUGGUGAGGUAAAGGCGCACCAAGGCGACGAUAAAUAGCUGGCCUGAGAGGGUGAUCGGCCACACUGGGACUGAGACACGGCCCAGACUCCUACGGGAGGCAGCAGUAGGGAAUCUUGGACAAUGGACGGAAGUCUGACCGAGCAACGCCGCGUGAGUGAAGAAGGUUUUCGGAUCGUAAAGCUCUGUUGUUAGGGAGGGGGUAACUAACCAGAAGGGGACGGCUAACUACUUGCCAGCGGCGGCGGUAAUC
rnacentral:rRNA from 1 species